UCAUUACAAGUGACCCCGGUCUAACCACCGGGAUGUUCAUAACCCUUUGUUGUCCGACUCUGUUGCCUCCGGGGCGACCCUGCCUUCGGGCGGGGGCUCCGGGUGGACACUUCAAACUCUUGCGUAACUUUGCAGUCUGAGUAAACUUAAUUAAUAAAUUAAAACUUUUAACAACGGAUCUCUUGGUUCUGGCAUCGAUGAAGAACGCAGCGAAAUGCGAUAAGUAAUGUGAAUUGCAGAAUUCAGUGAAUCAUCGAAUCUUUGAACGCACAUUGCGCCCCCUGGUAUUCCGGGGGGCAUGCCUGUUCGAGCGUCAUUUCACCACUCAAGCCUCGCUUGGUAUUGGGCAACGCGGUCCGCCGCGUGCCUCAAAUCGACCGGCUGGGUCUUCUGUCCCCUAAGCGUUGUGGAAACUAUUCGCUAAAGGGUGCUCGGGAGGCUACGCCGUAAAACAAACCCAUUUCUAAGGUG
rnacentral:misc_RNA from 2 species